rnacentral:rRNA from 1 species
AUGCUUGACCAUUUCUUCUUUGUCAUCAUCACCAUCAAGGUCGUCCAUGGGCGGCAACUCAUCUGUGUAGAUAAAGUGAAGCAGCGCUUUGAAAACAGCGGGCUCCAUGUCUUCAAUGGCUAUGCUCUGCCCGCACUUGCCCCUCAUCGGCCCAUAGAGCUCCGCCUUGAAGACCGGCGACCGCAUUGCAAGGACGAUUUUAUGGGCAGUGAAAACCUCAUCUUUGACCUUGAAAGACACAUCCGAUUCCUCCCCCGCCUCUAG